rnacentral:rRNA from 1 species
GGAACGUGCCUUUUGGUUCGGAAUAACUCAGGAAACUUGUGCUAAUACCGAAUGUGCCCUUCGGGGGAAAGAUUAUCGCCAUUAGAGCGGCCCGCGUCUGAUUAGCUAGUUGGUGAGGUAACGGCUCACCAAGGCGACGAUCAGUAGCUGGUCUGAGAGGAUGAUCAGCCACACUGGGACUGAGACACGGCCCAGACUCCUACGGGAGGCAGCAGUGGGGAAUCUUGCGCAAUGGGCGAAAGCCUGACGCAGCCAUGCCGCGUGAAUGAUGAAGGUCUUAGGAUUGUAAAAUUCUUUCACCGGGGACGAUAAUGACGGUACCCGGAGAAGAAGCCCCGGCUAACUUCGUGCCAGCAGCCGCGGUAAUACGAAGGGGGCUAGCGUUGCUCGGAAUUACUGGGCGUAAAGGGCGCGUAGGCGGAUCGUUAAGUCAGGGUGAAAUCCCGGGGCUCAACCUCGGAAUUGCCCUUGAUACUGGCGAUCUUGAGUAUGAGAGAGGUAUGUGGAACUCCGAGUGUAGAGGUGAAAUUCGUAGAUAUUCGGAAGAACACCAGUGGCGAAGGCGACAUACUGGCUCAUUACUGACGCUGAGGCGCGAAAGCGUGGGGAGCAAACAGGAUUAGAUACCUGGUAGUCCACGCCGUAAACGAUGAUUGCUAGUUGUC